AAAUUUUACACAGUAAAAUUCCUCCGACUUUCAAUUACUGAUUUUUCAGCUAGAAACUGAUGUGAAUAGCUCCCAUAUGGCACUUAGUGAACAUUUCUCUCUCAUCUCUUAUACAAAGUGUAAAAUUAUUCUCUUUACGCAUGAAAAAUUAUUCUAUCUAUAGAGAGAAAAAUAAUUCCAUUUGCAUAUGGCUUGAGAGAGAAAAGAG
rnacentral:misc_RNA from 1 species